GGGGGGGUAGCCCAGCUGGUUAGAGCGCUACGUUGACAUCGUAGAGGUCAGCGGUUCGAGUCCGCUCCUCCCCACCA
rnacentral:tRNA from 1 species